AAGAGGGCCACCACGCGGAAUCUGAUCGUGAUGUGUCCUGGUACACAAGGAUGCUGGAGUUGCUUGGGAUGAAGUCCCAUGGCGACCCUGGGCAGACCUUCACACUGAGGCGUUAUUCUUCUAGGCCAUCGAGCCAACAGUCUUCUGAUCCGCUGAGGCCUAGAUUAAAUUACGACCAUUUGUUGGGGGUGGUUCUUGUCUCCUCCAAGGAAUACCUAUCAAGGUUCUUCUGCCGAGGAAGGUGAGGAUGAACACGAGUGCCAAGAUACAUUAAAUAAGAAGGCGAGGAUUGAAAAACACACCGAGGAAAUUAAGGCUGUCAUUCAGGAUGCUCUUAGAAGAAAUCAGAUUUCUCCAGACUAUGCGCAUUACCUGGUCUUCCACACUGAUCUUCUUGGCAUGUAUGCAAGGAGACUAUCUCGAAAGGCGGCUCGCAAUUAUCAUUGGAUGCAUUGAAGGAUAAAAUUAAACUUCCUGGCCUCAGUUCUCUUUUAGACAAGAUUAUAAGUUUCGGGAGUGCAAUACAUUCUGGUGCAACACUUGCAGGGGCAGCAUACCGUGUCGCUCAAUCGGAUGGCCCAGGAGUUUUUCAUGAUGCAGGGAAACAAGCUUUGGUCUCUGAUAGGUGGCAGUGAAGUUACUGCCAGCCAGAACUUGGUGAGGAAAGUAAUGUUGAAUUUGAAGAGUGAGGGCUGCUUCUUGUGUCUCAAACCGUCCGAUAUUGAUCAUUGUCUUGAUAUUCAAGUAAAUGCUCAAGAAGGUGAUGCUGCUAUUAAUGAAUUUCCUGAUUUGCGAUAUGUAAGUGAGCUAUAUUGGUAUCUACAACUGCUUUGAAACAAUAUUUUUGUUUGAAAAUUCCCUGUUUUACUGAAAAUUUUCAUGUUUGUAUCACAGCCUAAUUCUGCUAGCGUCUUGGUGGAGAAGCUUAAUGGUAAUGAUAUGAAUGCAAUGCUAUAUCUGCCAUUUUCUCUUAGAAAAUCAAAAGUAAGUUGAGUUUUGUAAUAGCAUCUUUCUAUAUUGUUUUGUGUAUCAGAUUUUUCAGCUUGUAAUCUUGGGAAUGUAGGUUGAGCUGCAGCUACUUCAUCCUUUUCAUGGGUCUACCUGCAGCAUUGGUCUGAACAAUGAAAAGAUGUCUUGUGUGUUAGUUUCAAGUCUGUGUGGCCUACAUGAUCUUCAUCUAUGGGGUGUCCACAGUCUA